rnacentral:rRNA from 1 species
GCAAGUCGAGGGGAAACGAUUGAGAAAGCUUGCUUUUUCUAGGCGUCGACCGGCGCACGGGUGAGUAACGCGUAUCCAACCUGCCCACCACUUGGGGAUAACCUUGCGAAAGUAAGACUAAUACCCAAUGACGUCUCUAGAAGACAUCUGAAAGGGAUUAAAGAUUUAUCGGUGAUGGAUGGGGAUGCGUCUGAUUAGCUUGUUGGCGGGGUAACGGCCCACCAAGGCGACGAUCAGUAGGGGUUCUGAGAGGAAGGUC